UACGGGGGGAGCAAGCGUUGUUCGGAUUUACUGGGCGUAAAGGGUGCGUAGGCGGCGGAGUAAGUUGGGUGUGAAAUCCCGGGGCUUAACCUCGGAAUUGCAUUCAAUACUGCUUCGCUUGAGUACUGGAGAGGAGGCUGGAAUUUACGGUGUAGCAGUGAAAUGCGUAGAUAUCGUAAGGAAAGGCCGGUGGCGAAAAGCGAGCCUCUGGACAGUUACUGACGCUGAUGCACGAAGGCCAGGGGGAGCAAAACGGG
rnacentral:rRNA from 1 species